CCCGCUUGGCUGUGCUUAUUCCACAUUACGUCACCCUUUGCUCAGCAACAGAAGUCUGCUCUAUGCUGGGGUGGGAGGAGCUGCGUGCAUGUGAGCUUAGUCCCAGCAACUGCAGAAGGGUUGGGCUGAGCUCGACUGAAUUACGUCCACUCAAAAAGUUGCAGCAGUUAAAUCCUCUAACUCUUAUUCUGGGAGUGGUGGCAAUACAAGAGACCAGGUGCAAAUGAUGAUCUACAGCAGUGUUCUUCAAACUUGGCAACUUUAAGGUGUGUGGACUCCCAGAAUUCCCCAGCCAGCAUGAUCGACAGGAUCCACAGGAACUAACUUGCCUGGUUGGGUUAGGAUUAUAACUCUCAGAAUUCUCAGCCUCUAUUCCAUUCCAUUCAUGGAAAUUCUGGUGGUCAUGGCCCCAACAUAUCUGGAGAAGACCAGUUCAAAGGCAGUUUAUCUGCAGCAGCACUCAUACAAAACGGGGAAAAAAAGCCAAAAGCAUUCCUUCGGCCCUACCCUUCUGCACCAUCACUGCAUGAAAGGAGAUGAAGAAACAUGAAUGGGG